rnacentral:rRNA from 1 species
UACGUAGGGUCCGAGCGUUGUCCGGAAUUAUUGGGCGUAAAGAGCUCGUAGGCGGUUUGUCGCGUCGAAUGUGAAAUCCCGGGGCUCAAACCCCGGGUCUGCAUUCGAUACGGGCAGACUAGAGUUCGGUAGGGGAGUCUGGAAUUCCUGGUGUAGCGGUGGAAAUGACGCAGAUAUCAGGAGGAACACCGGUGGCGAAGGCGGGACUCUGGGCCGAUACUGACGCUGAGGAGCGAAAGCGUGGGGAGCAAACAGG